GCUGAAACUCGCCUACAUGAAGCUGGAGUUACUAGUAAUCGCAGAUCAGAAUGCUGCGGUGAAUGCGUUCCCGGGUCUUGUACACACCGCCCGUCACACCACGGAAGUUGGGGGCGCCCGAAGCCACUUAGCUAACCCAUUUGGGAAGCGAGUGUCGAAGGUGAAAUCAAUAACUGGGGUGAAGUCGUAACAAGGUAAC
rnacentral:rRNA from 1 species